rnacentral:rRNA from 1 species
UACGGGGGGGGCAAGCGUUGUCCGGAAUUACUGGGCGUAAAGGGCUCGUAGGCGGCCAACUAAGUCGGAUGUGAAAUCCCCAGGCUCAACCUGGGAACGGCAUCCGAUACUGGAUGGCUUGAAUCCGGGAGAGGGAUGCAGAAUUCCAGGUGUAGCGGUGAAAUGCGUAGAUAUCUGGAGGAACACCGGUGGCGAAGGCGGCAUCCUGGACCAACACUGACACUGAGGAGCGAAAGCCAGGGGAGCAAACGGG